GGUUAAGCGACUAAGCGUACACGGUGGAUGCCCUGGCAGUCAGAGGCGAUGAAGGACGUGCUAAUCUGCGAUAAGCGUCGGUGAGGUGAUAUGAACCGUUAUAACCGGCGAUUUCCGAAUGGGGAAACCCAGUGUGUUUCGACACACUAUCAUUAACUGAAUCCAUAGGUUAAUGAGGCGAACCGGGGGAACUGAAACAUCUAAGUACCCCGAGGAAAAGAAAUCAACCGAGAUUCCCCCAGUAGCGGCGAGCGAACGGGGAGGAGCCCAGAGCCUGAAUCAGUGUGUGUGUUAGUGGAAGCGUCUGGAAAGGCGUGCGAUACAGGGUGACAGCCCCGUACACAAAAAUGCACAUAUUGUGAGCUCGAUGAGUAGGGCGGGACACGUGGUAUCCUGUCUGAAUAUGGGGGGACCAUCCUCCAAGGCUAAAUACUCCUGACUGACCGAUAGUGAACCAGUACCGUGAGGGAAAGGCGAAAAGAACCCCGGCGAGGGGAGUGAAAAAGAACCUGAAACCGUGUACGUACAAGCAGUGGGAGCCUCUUAAUGGGGUGACUGCGUACCUUUUGUAUAAUGGGUCAGCGACUUAUAUUCUGUAGCAAGGUUAACCGAAUAGGGGAGCCGAAGGGAAACCGAGUCUUAACUGGGCGUUAAGUUGCAGGGUAUAGACCCGAAACCCGGUGAUCUAGCCAUGGGCAGGUUGAAGGUUGGGUAACACUAACUGGAGGACCGAACCGACUAAUGUUGAAAAAUUAGCGGAUGACUUGUGGCUGGGGGUGAAAGGCCAAUCAAACCGGGAGAUAGCUGGUUCUCCCCGAAAGCUAUUUAGGUAGCGCCUCGUGAAUUCAUCUCCGGGGGUAGAGCACUGUUUCGGCAAGGGGGUCAUCCCGACUUACCAACCCGAUGCAAACUGCGAAUACCGGAGAAUGUUAUCACGGGAGACACACGGCGGGUGCUAACGUCCGUCGUGAAGAGGGAAACAACCCAGACCGCCAGCUAAGGUCCCAAAGUCAUGGUUAAGUGGGAAACGAUGUGGGAAGGCCCAGACAGCCAGGAUGUUGGCUUAGAAGCAGCCAUCAUUUAAAGAAAGCGUAAUAGCUCACUGGUCGAGUCGGCCUGCGCGGAAGAUGUAACGGGGCUAAACCAUGCACCGAAGCUGCGGCAGCGACACUAUGUGUUGUUGGGUAGGGGAGCGUUCUGUAAGCCUGUGAAGGUGGCCUGUGAGGGUUGCU
rnacentral:rRNA from 1 species